GACUGAGCUCUUUUUUCCUCCCCUUCUCUCUUCAGAAUAAGCAAGGCUUACUAUACACUCAGCAUCUGAGGAGGAGAUCUAAAUUCGGCAAGAACAAACACGCUUUGGAAUUUUAUUUCUGAAUUUCUAAGCAGCCUGCUUUCCGCCCUGUGGUGUUAGCAUGCAGGCAAGUUGAAAAGCUUGUUUUACGGGAAGGCGGCAGUGAAAGAGGUGGAAACUCCUACGUCUUACAGAGACCAGGAAAUCUUUUCCUAAGUAACCUCACUUACACACUCUCAGUUAAACAACUUUGGAAAAUCUGCAUUUAAAGUACUUCUCUACUUUUUGACUUGCAGUUGAACAUAAAGCAGCAAGUUCUGUAUCAACUUCAUUAACACCUGGGAAAACAAGAGCGUGGAAUUAAAUGUAAGGAUGAGCUCAUCUGUUGCUUGUAAGACUAUGCUUAUUAUCGCCCAGGACUGGAUGUGUGACUGUUGUGGCAUUUGGAAGAAAAGAAUGAUCUCCUGGUGAUUCCCAAGGUAGUAUCUUCCUACUGCAACGUUCAUGUUUCACCUUGGAAGUUUUAAAGUAAAAUGGACAACUUAUGAAAUCACUCACAGACCAAAUUCAUCUGCAAGCUACCCAGACAUUUUAAAGCAGUUACAACAGAAGGGCUGCUAACGAAAGGAAUUCAGCAUUGUAAAUUUAAAUUGCCCUUAUAAUGGUAAGCUCUAAUUGUUCCACUGAGGACUCCUUUAAGUAUAUUUUAUAUGGAUGUACGUUUAGCAUGGUGUUUGUCCUUGGUCUAAUAUCAAAUUGCGUUGCUAUAUACAUUUUUACAUUCACAUUAAAAAUGCGAAAUGAAACAACUACUUACAUGCUUAAUUUAGCAAUAUCUGAUCUACUUUUUGUAUUUACAUUGCCCUUCAGGAUUUAUUACUUUGCAAUAAGAAACUGGCCAUUUGGAGAUAUACUUUGCAAGAUUUCUGUCACAAUGUUUUAUACAAACAUGUAUGGAAGCAUUUUCUUCUUGACUUGUAUAAGCGUCGAUCGCUUUUUAGCUAUAGUGCACCCAUUUUGGUCUAAGACUCUUAGAACCAAAAGAAAUGCAAAAAUUGUCUGUGUUGCAGUAUGGAUAACUGUACUAGCAGGAAGCAUGCCAGCAAGCUUUUUUCAGUCUACCACCACCCGAAAUAACACUGAAUAUGAACAAAACACAUGUUUUGAAAACUUUCCGGAUAAAACAUGGAAAACCUAUAUAUCAAGGAUUGUUAUCUUCAUUGAAAUUGUGGGAUUUUUUAUUCCACUGUUCUUAAAUGUGACCUGUUCUACGAUGGUUUUAAGGACUUUGAAUAAACCAGUUACAUUAAGUCGGAACAAGCUAAGCAAAAAAAAGGUACUCAAAAUGAUUUUUGUCCAUCUGGUGAUAUUCUGUUUCUGUUUUGUGCCAUAUAAUGUUACCCUAAUACUUUAUUCUCUAAUGAGAACACAAAUAUGGAUUAAUUGUUCAUUAGUAACUGCUGUCAGGACUAUGUAUCCUAUCACUCUAUGCAUUGCAGUUUCAAAUUGUUGUUUUGACCCUAUAAUAUACUAUUUUACAUCAGAUACUAUUAAAAACUCAAUAAAAAAGAACAGAUCAGCUAGAACACGCGAUUCCAGAUCCGCUGAAACUCAAGUUGCUGAAAAUUUUAUUCAACACAGCCUCCAGACUUUAAAAGCUAAAAUAUUUGACAAUGAAUCUACAAUAUAAACUGAAAGAAAAUACUGGGACUGAAAUGCACCUUUCUUCAGCUGUUAAAAUGUUUUAAUUAAAAAUAGGAAAAAGUUAAAUGUCACUUGUAAACAUACUUUAUAGAAAAAUGUAAUUACUGCAAGAAUUACAAAUAUUUUAAUAGUUGUCAAAGUUUUAUCUCUUCUGCCUUUAUGUCACAGAUUCCAUGACCUGUUAUAUAGACCCUGCUGUGUCUCCUUACAAUUUUGAACCACACAAAAAUAAACUGAUGUUUGGAAACCUAAGCUGAUACUAACAAGGCCCAAAAGUGUUUUACAAUUCAACAUAUUAUGAAGUUAGAAGACUAGGUCUUCUCAUUGUUUGUGUUAACAGGUUAAAACAAUUUAAAUUAAAAAAUUAAAUUGUGAAUACAUUUUAGGCUGCAACUAUUUUGUUUAGGUGUUAAUUUCUUAAUGUCUGGAUUCUUCAAAGCAUUGAUCAAGUUAUUGCAACUUUGGUGUCAGUUCCACAGGUUCCACACCCACCAUCUUUCCUGGGAUUUGUUUACAAAAGUUAAGCUACUCCUUUAUAAAAAUAAAUUUACAGAUGGAUUGAAAAGUAUGUAAAGUUACUGAAACAAGACGUCAGUUAUUUAAAUAUUGCUGACAAAACAAACUCAAAGCUGUUUCUAAGAAAGUAUAGCAAAUAAGACUAAAAGACUAAAUUCUUUAAAUAAGUGUUCUGUUUGGGUUGUAAAAAGAAAAGGAGUACUUGUGACACCUUAGAGACUAACCAAUUUAUUUGAGCAUAAGCUUUCGUGAGCUACAGCUCAUACUUUCCACAGUAUGCAUCCGAUGAAGUGAGCUGUAGCUCACGAAAGCUUAUGCUCAAAUAAAUUGGUUAGUCUCUAAGGUGCCACACGUACUCCUUUUCUUUUUGCGAAUACAGACUAACACGGCUGUUACUCUGAAACCUGUUUGGGUUGUGUACUUUAACUUCAAAAGUGCUUCUUUGUUAUUGAAAAAACAUUGAGUAUUCCUCACAUGAACAAAGAUAUCCUGGGUGACACAUUAAAUAUUCUUUUCCAAGAAGACAAGAAAUGGCAGUUAGCUGUUUAUUGUAAAAUACCCUCUCCUAGAUGUUCUGUACAUCACAUAAGCACCAGAAUUUUGAUGUCUAUGUGUUUUAAUGUGAGCUUCUUAUGUGAGAUAAUAAAAAUAGUUAUUUAUUUGAGGUGCCUGAAAGCUGCUGCAAUAAAUCCAGGAAUUUUUAAGAAUUAAGAGCUUAUAUGAAACAAGAUGCAACUUUGAUUCAUCUUUACAAAUAAGUAAGCAAUACCCUAUAGAAGCAUGUUUAAAAGUGGCAUGUGUUUCAUACAUUCUUCAGCAGCCGGAGUACUGCGCAUACCAUGCUCAGAAUUUGUUUACCUUUACUGUAAAAUAAUAAAUAUUUAAAAAGUUAAAGAAGUGUCAAGUGGUAGUUUCUCCCAAAGAUGAUUAAGUCUGGAAUAAAAACUGAACUAAAGUA